rnacentral:tRNA from 1 species
UGGCUCAGACGGUAAAGCGUCUGUCUACAAUGCAGAAGACCUGGGUUCGAUCCCUG